rnacentral:ncRNA from 1 species
AAAGGCUUGGUCCUGACUUUACUAUCAGCUUUAGUCCAGUUCAUACAUGCAAGUAUCCGCACCCCUGUGAGAAUGCCCUAAAUCCUCCAUCCGAGAAUAAGGAGCAGGCAUCAGGCACGAUCUCUUCAGCCCAAGACGCCUUGCUAUGCCACACCCCUAAGGGAACCCAGCAGUAGUAAACAUUAAGCUAUUAGUGAAAACUUGACUUAGCUAAGACUAAAAGAGUCGGUAAAAUUCGUGCCAGCCACCGCGGUUAUACGAAAGACUCUAGUUGAUAGGCACGGCGUAAAGGGUGGUUAGGAGUAAUAUAAAAUAGAGCUAAAGACCUUCUAAGCUGUUAUACGCCUACGAAGCUGCGAAACCCUGCCUCAAACGAAAGUAGCUCUACCAAAUAAUCCGACCCCACGAAAGUUGAGAAACAAACUGGGAUUAGAUACCCCACUAUGCUCAACCCUAAACCAAGAUAUUAGUUACCAAUAUAUCCGCCCGGGUACUACAAGCACAGCUUAAAACCCAAAGGACUUGGCGGUGCUUCAGAUCCGCCUAGAGGAGCCUGUUCUAGAACCGAUAACCCCCGUUAAACCUCACCACUUCUUGUUAAUACCGUCUAUAUACCGCCGUCGUCAGCUUACCCUAUGAGGGUAAAAUAGUAAGCAAAAAGGACACACUCCAAAACGUCAGGUCGAGGUGUAGCGUACGAAGUGGGAAGAAAUGGGCUACAUUUUCUAUUACAGAACAUUACGAAUAGCAUUAUGAAAUACCACGCUUGAAGGAGGAUUUAGUAGUAAAAAGAAAAUAGAGAGUUCUUUUGAACCAGGCUCUGAAGCGCGCACACACCGCCCGUCACUCUCCCC